GUCUCACGGUAGAGUAGAGGACUGAAAAUCCUCGUCUCACCAGUUCAAAUCUGGU
rnacentral:tRNA from 1 species